rnacentral:rRNA from 1 species
UACGUAGGCAGCGAGCGUUGUUCGGAAUUACUGGGCGUAAAGAGUGUGUAGGCGGUGCUCUAAGUUCGGUGUGAAAUCUCCCGGCUUAACUGGGAGGGUGCGCCGGAAACUGGAGUGCUCGAGCGUGGGAGAGGAAAGCGGAAUUCCUGGUGUAGCGGUGAAAUGCGUAGAUAUCAGGAGAAACACCUGCGGUGUAGACGGCUUUCUGGACCAUUGCUGACGCUGAGACACGAAAGCGUGGGUAGCAAACAGG